UACGUAGGGUGCUAGCGUUGUCCGGAAUUAUUGGGCGUAAAGAGCUCGUAGGCGGUCUGUUGCGUCGGCUGUGAAAACCCGGGGCUCAACCCCGGGCCUGCAGCCGAUACGGGCAGACUAGAGUUCGGCAGGGGAGACUGGAAUUCCUGGUGUAGCGGUGAAAUGCGCAGAUAUCAGGAGGAACACCGGUGGCGAAGGCGGGUCUCUGGGCCGAUACUGACGCUGAGGAGCGAAAGCGUGGGGAGCGAACAGG
rnacentral:rRNA from 1 species